rnacentral:rRNA from 1 species
ACUCUACGGGAGGCAGCAGUGGGGAAUAUUGCACAAUGGGCGCAAGCCUGAUGCAGCCAUGCCGCGUGUAUGAAGAAGGCCUUCGGGUUGUAAAGUACUUUUCAGCAGUGAGGAAGGUGGGUAUGUUAAUAGCAUACUCAUUUGACGUUAGCUGCAGAAGAAGCACCGGCUAACUCCGUGCCAGCAGCCGCGGUAAUACGGAGGGUGCGAGCGUUAAUCGGAAUUACUGGGCGUAAAGCGCAUGCAGGUGGUUUGUUAAGUCAGAUGUGAAAGCCCGGGGCUCAACCUCGGAAUUGCAUUUGAAACUGGCAAACUAGAGUACUGUAGAGGGGGGUAGAAUUUCAGGUGUAGCGGUGAAAUGCGUAGAGAUCUGAAGGAUACCGGUGGCGAAGGCGGCCCCCUGGACAGAUACUGACACUCAGAUGCGAAGCGUGGGAGGCAACAAGGAGUUAGAGUACCCUCGGUAGGACGUCUGCG